CACCGCGGUUAUACGAAAGGCCCAAGUUGAAAAACAUUCGGCGUAAAGGGUGGCUAAGGGCCUAUUUUAAACUAGAGCUGAAUUUCUUCAAAGCUGUUAUACGCUCAUGAAAACUAGAAAAUCAACCACGAAAGUGGCUCUAAUCUCUCCUGACACCACGAAAGCUAUGACA
rnacentral:rRNA from 1 species